rnacentral:rRNA from 1 species
UAAAUUUAACAAUGGAUCUCUAGGCUCUCACAUCGAUGAAGACACAGUGAAUGUGAUAAGUAAUGUGAAUUGCAGAAUUCAUGAAUCAUCGAAUCUUUUGGUAUUCCAAAAGGCACAUUCCAAAGGCA